CUCUCAAAAACUGAAUUCGUCGCCGGCGGACCAGUACAUCACCUUCUUGCACUACCGCCGGUCCGCUCCGCUGCGUCUCUCGUUGAGCCCUGAAUCUCUCUCCCGCCUGUAACUCACCCUCUCAUUGCCUUACUCCCCUGCCACACCCUCUCGAGGCCACUGUUAAAGCUCACCGCCGGCGGACUAGUGCCUGCCAAUCGCUGGAAGAGGUAAGGGAUUUUGAUUUUUUUUUCUAUUUUGAUCUCUGUUUUUCCCUCACCAUCUCUUGCAUAGUUUCAACAGUGCCCUCGCCCAGAUUUGUGCUACGCCACCGUGCCCGAGCAGCCUUCACCGUGCCGAGCUGCUGUCAUCGCGCUCUGCCGCAGCUGCCAUUGCCGAUGUGUCCCACGUACUGUUUCCGCUGUCGCUUAUAAGGUUGAUGCUCGUAUAAAAGCACUCAAAAACAUUGUGUGGAAGGAAGGCCUUAAAUCAACAGGUGGCUGAUUCCCUCGUUAGAUGGGUGGAUCAACUCCAAUACAAAGCCAUCCCCCAAGUCCCAAGUCCUAAAAUUGUUUACGUCGAAAAUAUCCAAUCAUGAUAUAGAUUGUAAUCUUCUUACUCCACGGGCCUCUGUAAGUCGAAGGGGAUCAAACACAGUCGAGUCAAAGUCAUUAGUACAUUAGGAUUGUUCUUAUUUUGUAAUGAAUAUUGAUUUGAUUGGGUUGAACUUGAGUUGUAAUGAAUGGAAAUUUUAAGAAAUUAUUGUAUUGCAAUGAAUAUUA